CUGACUGGCCGCUGCCAGACAGGCUUCCGACAGCUCAGCGCCCUGCAGUGAGCCACACCCUCGGGCCUCACACGACAGAUGCUUUGGAUAGAAUCAGGAAACCAGUGACUCACGAAAGAAAAUGCUGUGGACGUCACCACUCGGCACAGACCUCGCUCUGUGCGCGCGGGCUGGACGCAGGCAGGCCGCAGGCCAGCUACAAUCUGCUGGGACCGGGCCUUUGCCCGUAUCUAUGGGGACGAGGAGCCCGCCACGUGCCCAGAUCCACCUGGCGGGAUGCGAGAGUGGGAGCUGCGCCCUCACCUUGGCCCACCAGCUGGAGAGCACGAAGUAGGUGUUCACGUUCUCCUCCCCGAACUGCUCGGCCACGUAGAGCCCCAGCGAGCCGUACUUGUCGUAGAUGUUUCUUUUCGUGGAGUCCGUCAGGAUGGCGUGGGCGUUGUUGAUCUCCUUAAACUUGUCUGCGGCC